UGAAUCUUAAUGGUGCUGCAU
rnacentral:siRNA from 1 species